GUCUAGUGUCAAGGAUCACCCCCGUUUGUUGCCUGUUUAACAUCGCAACGUGCGGGGGUUUUCU
rnacentral:antisense_RNA from 1 species